rnacentral:rRNA from 1 species
UACACUGAAUCUGGAAGCUUCUGGUUUAAAGAGAAGAUUAUUCAAGAAUUUUGUGUAAAAUGUCGGCGAGCGGCGGACGGCUGAGUAACGCGUGGGAACGUACCCCAAAGUGAGGGAUAACGCAUCGAAAGGUGUGCUAAUACCGCAUAUGGUCUUCGGAUUAAAGCCUUCGGGCGCUUUGGGAACGGCCUGCGUAAGAUUAGAUAGUUGGUGGGGUAAUGGCCUACCAAGUCAACGAUCUUUAACUGGUUUGAGAGGAUGAUCAGUCAGACUGGAACUGAGACACGGUCCAGACUCCUACGGGAGGCAGCAGUGAGGAAUCUUCCACAAUGGGCGAAAGCCUGAUGGAGCAACGCCGCGUGCAGGAUGAAGGCCUUCGGGUUGUAAACUGCUUUUAUAAGUGAGGAAUAUGACAGUAACUUAUGAAUAAGGAUCGGCUAACUACGUGCCAGCAGCCGCGGUCAUACGUAGGAUCCGAGCGUUAUCCGGAGUGACUGGGCGUAAAGAGUUGCGUAGGUGGUUUAAUAAGCGAAUAGUGAAAUCUGGUGGCUCAACCAUUCAGACUAUUAUUCGAACUGUUAAACUCGAGAGCAGAAGAGGUAGCUGGAUUUCUAGUGUAGGAGUGAAUCCGUAGAUAUUAGAAGGAACACCGAUGGCGUAGGCAGGC